rnacentral:rRNA from 1 species
UACGUAGGGUGCAAGCGUUAAUCGGAAUUACUGGGCGUAAAGCGUGCGCAGGCGGUUAUAUAAGACAGAUGUGAAAUCCCCGGGCUCAACCUGGGAACUGCAUUUGUGACUGUAUAGCUAGAGUACGGUAGAGGGGGAUGGAAUUCCGAGUGUAGAGGUGAAAUUCGUAGAUAUGCGGAGGAACACCGAUGGCGAAGGCAAUCCCCUGGGCCUGCACUGACGCUCAUGCACGAAAGCGUGGGGAGCAAACAGG